rnacentral:lncRNA from 1 species
GAAAAUAUGGUGGGAAAAGAAAAUCAGCAUAUCAUUUGAACUAAAAUGCCACAGGCCGGACUCGAACACAAACCAGAUUCAAAUAGCGCGCCUUGUCUCAAUGAAACGCGCCGUUUCAUUUAUGACUGGACUGUACAGUCAGCGCAUGGUCAAACAAUGCUAGCCAAUCACUUUGCCAUGCACGCGCGUAUGUGUACCAAUC